rnacentral:rRNA from 1 species
AUUGAACGCUGGCGGCAUGCCUUACACAUGCAAGUCGAACGGCAGCACGGGAGCUUGCUCCUGGUGGCGAGUGGCGAACGGGUGAGUAAUACAUCGGAACGUACCCAGGAGUGGGGGAUAACGUAGCGAAAGUUACGCUAAUACCGCAUAUUCUGUGAGCAGGAAAGCGGGGGAUCGCAAGACCUCGCGCUCUUGGAGCGGCCGAUGUCGGAUUAGCUAGUUGGUGAGGUAAAAGCUCACCAAGGCGACGAUCCGUAGCAGGUCUGAGAGGAUGAUCUGCCACACUGGGACUGAGACACGGCCCAGACUCCUACGGGAGGCAGCAGUGGGGAAUUUUGGACAAUGGGGGCAACCCUGAUCCAGCCAUGCCGCGUGAGUGAAGAAGGCCUUCGGGUUGUAAAGCUCUUUCGGCGGGGAAGAAAUGGCAACGGCUAAUAUCCGUUGUUGAUGACGGUACCCACAUAAGAAGCACCGGCUAACUACGUGCCAGCCGCCGCCGUAAUAC